UUCCUUUUUUAAAAAAAUUACAGUUGAUUUAUAAUAUUAUACUAGCUUCAGGUGUACAGCAUAGUGAUUCAAUACUUUAAGAGAUUAUACUCUACUUAAAAUUAGGGUAAGUACUGACUAUAUUCCCUGUGCUGUACAAUACAGACUUGCUGCUUAUUUUAUUCACAGUAGUUUGUCCCUCUUAAUCCCCUACCCCUGUCUUGCCUCUCCUGGGACAUGCAUUCUUGAUGGGCAGGGGUGAGGAAUCUAUUUAAAAAUUAAACAAAUUAUUCCCAGGAAUGGCCAAUCAGAGGAGGUUCUGAGUGGGAGGUUUCUCCAGGCAGCUGAAUGCGGGGACUGAGGGGCUGCUGAGGGGGAGCUGGGGACAUGUGGGAGGCCGAGGGCUGUGGGGACGGCCCCUGGGGAGCAGCGAAGUAGAAGUUGGGGGCAGACCCUGGAGGAGAAAGCUCUGAUGGGUAAAUGUAGACGCAGCAGACAGACAGCGCUUCUUAGAGAAGGAAAUUUAAAACAGCAGCCCGACCAACCCUCCCGAGUCCCCUGGAGCAUGUCUGCCAGCAGAGUGACAGGACACCAUGCCGCGGAGAAGGAGAAGGUCAGAGCUCUGAAAGCGUGGGGAUCUGGGAACCACGGACAGGACACGUACCAGCUCUGUCGGCUUUGUAAGCCCAGUGUUUGGACUGAAUUAGUCUCAGAAUGUGAUGACCUGCACGGCGUGAGCUUAGCUCUUUAUUGAUACGCCUCCGAGAAAUUACGACAUUGUGUAAUGAGUGUUCGAGAAAUGGGGCCAUAAAGUACAUCAAUAAACCACUGCGUUUGUAUCCCACGGGGGGCAGAGUUGCUCUAUUUUUUAAGGCGGUUUGAAUGUCUGUCAUUUGCAACUGAAAGGCCACGCUAAUAAAGUCGUUAACACCUG